AAAAGUGCCUAUGAAUAUUGAUUCUAGUCUUCUGAGCCAUGGUGCUUUGUCCACGAUCUCCUGCAAAUCUGUGGUUUUCAUAUCCGGCGGGCCUUAUUGUUCAACGACCAAGUCGAGUACAUUAAUGCCACAAGGGACAUGCUGUGGUCCCUCGCCCGGAAGCUGGAUCGUUGGCAUAGGAGGAGCGGGGUUUAUAGCCGAUGGCAAGCUAAGUAGCAGGGGACAAUCGGGGGUCCCUCAGUGCCAGAUAGGCAGUUACUUUUUGUCCAGCGUGGAUGCGCUUUCAUGGAGAAAAAGAUUGCGAGAUAGCUGAAUAGUUCUAGCAUUUUGGAGGCGGUAGAGCUCAAAAGGCAAUGUCAGUAUAAAGAAAUGGUGGAGGGGGUCCACUUAUUUUCAAUCGAAAAUUGUAUGGCCAGUUGCGGGCCGGGGAUUUUGCUCUUCCGUCCAACAGCACCUUGACCAUCUCUUCAACAGCUACUUUGAAAAUUGCAAUUCUGUAAAAAAA